rnacentral:lncRNA from 1 species
GAGCGAUCCCGGAAGGAGCCGAAGCGACAAUGCGGGGGAAGAGAUAGAGUCUUCCUCUGUCGCCUAGGCUGGAGUGCAGUGGCGCGAUCUCGGCGCACCGCAACCUCUGCCUCCCGGGUUCAAGCGAAUUCUCCUGCCUCAGCCUCCGGAGUAGCUGGGAUUACAGAUGUGCUCCACCAUGCCCGGCUAAUUUUUGUAUUUUUAGUAGAGAUGGGGGGGUUUCACCAUGUUGGCCAGGCUGGUCUCGAACUCCUGACCUUGUGAUCCACUAGCUUCGGCCUCCCGAAGUUCUGGGAUUACAGGCAUGAGCCACCACACCCGGAUGAAUUAUGCCAUUUUUAAGGCAAAGGUCUCCGUAACUAUUAAUUUCUCUGUCCUUCUAAUCUGUAUUCCCUGAGAAAUUAAUUGGGCUGGCAAGUCAAAGCCCUGAACCCCAGCUGCAGCUUUCUGAGCUUGUUCUGUCCAUCUGUGAAGUAAGGCAAUGAGAAGUGAGUCGGGGAACGGAACCCACGAUGCGUCAGAGGAGUGUUCCAGUUGCACACACACUCCCCAGCCACCUGGCAGCUCAGUCUAUAAUCUGGAGGCUUCCACAUCUACAGCUCCAUACAAAUGAACCUCUGGUUCUAAAGAAGUUUCUUCCUUGUCUGGUUCUCACUUUCUAAACCUCAGUCUCUGGAGAGAAAAGGAGUCCUGGAGGAUGAACAAGGCGAGCUUGGAGUAAUUUGGAAAAGCUAAUGUUGUAGGACAGAAGCAAAGCCUGCAAGUCACAGCCUAGGUUCCCUGAGUGAUGUUUUCAGCAGUAAACUGCAACUUCAAAGCUAA